rnacentral:snRNA from 1 species
AUUGCUUGUCGGCCUUUUGGCUAAGAUCAAGUGUAGUAUCUGUUCUUAUCAAUUUAAUAUCUGAUACUUCCUCCAUCUGAGGACAAUGUAUUAAAUGGAUUUUUGGAAGUAGGAGUUGGAAUAGGAGCUUGCUCCGUCCACUCCACGCAUCGACCUGGUAUUGCAGUACCUCCAGGAACGGUGCACCCCCU